rnacentral:rRNA from 1 species
ACGGGGCCGCACAAGCGGAGGAACAUGUGGUUAAUCGAUGAUACGCGAGGAACCUUACCUGGGCUUAAAUGUAGAGUGCAUUUUUAGAGAUAGAAAUUCCCUUCGGGCUUUCUGCAAGGUGCUGCAUGGUUGUCGUCAGCUCGUGCCGUGAGGUGUCGGGUUAAGCCCCAUAACGAGCGCAACCCUUAUCGUUAGUUGCCAGCUGGUAAAGCAGGGGACUCUAGCGAAACUGCCACCGUAAGGUGAGAGGAAGGUGGGAUGACGUCAAAUCAGCACGGCCCUUAUGUCCAGGGCUACACACGUGUUACAAUGGCCGGCACAGAGGGCAGCUACCUGGUGACAGGAUGCUAAUCUCGAAAACCGGUCUCAGUUCGGAUCGAAGUCUGCAACUCGACUUCCGUGAAGCUGGAUUCGCUAGUAAUCGCGCAUCAGCCAUGGCCGACGGUCGAAUACGUUCCGGGCCUU